rnacentral:pre_miRNA from 1 species
UGCUGGGCAUCAGGGCGGGGAACAGGUGGCCAUGCUCGUCUCCUACUCUACCAACGGCCACGCCAUGGUCGCGGGGGAGACGUGGCUGUUGGUAGAGUGGAAGAGAAGCGAGGCCGCCUUUGAUGGUGAGCACCGCGCA